AGAGUAAGAAGGUUAUAAUUAGUUCAUAGUGAAAUGUAAAUGCUGAUGCAGAUGUAACCAUUAUCGGAAGUGCAAACGGUUAUAAUUAGUUCAUAGUGAAAUGUAAAUAUUUAUGUGUAAUAUUUUAUCUAAUAAUCUAUUGAGUUAUAAUUAGUUCAUAGUGAAAUGUAAAUUCGCUUAUAGAAAACGCGUUAACAGACGCAAGAGUGUUAUAAUUAGUUCAUAGUGAAAUGUAAAUUGUGGAACUAUCAAAUGCGGAAUAUAUCCAAUAAGUGUUAUAAUUAGUUCAUAGUGAAAUGUAAAUGCUGACAAUGUAGCAAGCUACAGUUUAACACGACCGUUAUAAUUAGUUC
rnacentral:sRNA from 1 species